rnacentral:rRNA from 1 species
UACGUAGGGUGCGAGCGUUAAUCGGAAUUACUGGGCGUAAAGCGUGCGCAGGCGGCUUUGCAAGACAGAUGUGAAAUCCCCAGGCUUAACCUGGGAACUGCGUGUGAUACUGGAUGGCUUGAAUUCGGGAGAGGGAUGCAGAAUUCCAGGUGUAGCGGUGAAAUGCGUAGAUAUCUGGAGGAAUACCGGUGGCGAAGGCGGCAUCCUGGACCGACAUUGACGCUGAACGGCGAAAGCUAGGGGAGCAAACGGG